GACGAACGCUGGCGGCGUGCUUAACACAUGCAAGUCGAACGGAAAGGCCCUGCUUUUGUGGGGUGCUCGUUUGGCGAACGGGUGAGUAACACGUGAGUAACCUGCCCUUGACUUUGUGAUAACUUCAGGAGACUGGGGCUAAUACCGGAUAGGAGCUCCUGCUGCAUGGGGGGGGUUGGAAAGUUUCGGCGGUUGGGGAUGGACUCGCGGCUUAUCAGCUUGUUGGUGGGGUAGUGGCUUACCAAGGCUUUGACGGGUAGCCGGCCUGAGAGGGUUACCGGCCACAUUGGGACUGAGAGACGGCGCAGACGGCUACGGGAGGCAGCAGUGGGGAAUAUUGCACAAUGGGCGGAAGCCUGAUGCAGCAACGUCGGGUGCGGGAUGACGGCUUUCGGGUUGUAAACCGCUUUCGCCGGUGACGAAGCGUGAGUGACGGUAAUGGGUAAAGAAGCACCGGCUAACUACGUG
rnacentral:rRNA from 1 species